rnacentral:rRNA from 1 species
AGAACGAACGCUGGCGGCAUGCCUAACACAUGCAAGUCGAACGAGACCUUCGGGUCUAGUGGCGCACGGGUGCGUAACGCGUGGGAAUCUGCCCUUAGGUACGGAAUAACAGUGAGAAAUUACUGCUAAUACCGUAUGAUGUCUUCGGACCAAAGAUUUAUCGCCUAGGGAUGAGCCCGCGUUGGAUUAGCUAGUUGGUGGGGUAAAGGCCUACCAAGGCGACGAUCCAUAGCUGGUCUGAGAGGAUGAUCAGCCACACUGGGACUGAGACACGGCCCAGACUCCUACGGGAGGCAGCAGUGGGGAAUAUUGGACAAUGGGCGAAAGCCUGAUCCAGCAAUGCCGCGUGAGUGAAGAAGGCCUUCGGGUUGUAAAGCUCUUUUACCCGGGAAGAUAAUGACUGUACCGGGAGAAUAACGCCCCGGCUAACUCCGCGCCAGCAGCCGC